rnacentral:miRNA from 1 species
AGAGUAAUGGACUUGGAGUCAGAAGGUCUGUGUUUGAACCUGGGUUCCACUACCUACUACCUCUGGCCAUUUUACUUCC